UUAAAGUCCUCUGAGCCCACAAAGCCAUGUAGAGGGAAGAGAGCUAGCAAGAGGGCCUGGGGAUUGCUUUAACAUCUCCUGGGGUUUCUUCUUCUCUUAGGUCUCAGGGACCUGUGCUCUAUCUGUGGCUCCAGCUUCCCAGGGCCAGGUUCCCGAUGGCCCGGACUGCAGAUGCCACAGCCUGCCUGCCUCAAGAAGCUCCGCCAGGGACCAGCACCCACGCGUGGACCCCACCACGCUCUGCCCUGUAGUCACUCUCUUGCCUUUGCUUGUCUUUCUCCCAAAUCCAUCAGCAGGGACUCUGACGCCCUUCUUAGCCUCCCAGUCCCAUCCACAGAACACGGAGCAUAAACACACCUCCUGUUCCUGCUGCCGGGUUCUUUGGCCUCUGCGUGUGUGCCGGAUUUUCUAGCCAGCCGCUCUGCUGGUUUCCGAAUCUUAGUUCUUGCAUGAAUAUUGAAGUUUUUAGAAAAAGAGGCACGAAACAAGCAUGAAACACCUGGGAUUGACUUCCCAGCUCUGGAAAUCCCAGGACUUGAAGGGGAAAAGCGAACGCACCCUUCUGUACAGUGAGUGUCAGACGGAAGGACCCACCACUGUUACUCUUAUUUACCGCAUGGCACGGCCAGAAUAGUGAAGCUCUGCCGAAUUUCCGCAGGGCCUCUCCCUCCUCCACUCAGCCAGGUUCUUCAAGGCUCCCUGCGCUUCUCCUGUACCGCGAUAUUCACAGAGCCAACUGUGCGACGAGUUGCUUCAUUUCUACCUUUUCCCCAAAUUGUGAGUUGUCUGGGGAUAUUUAAGAAAUGCAAGGCAAGAAUGGCUAAUAACAGGAGGAAAAGAGUGGGCUCUUACCCUAAGCUUGUGUGGGCAUGCCUUUGCCGCCAAUAAGGACAAUAGGAGCUGGGUGCAUAAUGGGUGUUCCUGUAAAUCUAUCCAGUGGAUAAUACACCCCUUAAUUUAAAAUAGCUGAUAAAGUGUGAAUAAACGCCUCUCGUCUUUUCCACUUCGCAUUUCUAUUAAGAAAGGAAUCACAUAAUAUUUUAGGACUCUCAACUAAUUAACUGUGCGUAUGCAUUUGGAGGGCACGUGCCUUGUGCACAAUGGAUUAUAUUCCUGAGUCCACAUUCAUAGGAGGCUGAAACUCUGGGGCUGGGCAUCCUGGACGUGAUUGAACUUCAUGGUGCUGGCUCUGAUUGGAAGACGUUGUCUGCUUAACUCUUGGCAAAGGGGAGGUGUCCUUCUGUCAGCGGUAGAGAUGGAAGGACUGUGAACAGAGGCAAACCAGAGAGCUAAAGGAAACAGAUUCAGUCCUUCAAAAGACUCUAUAAAGUGUCUGCUACAUUGCCUUAAAAACCUGAACACGUGCAGGAAGACCCUGAAAUGUCCUCAUGUUUGCAAUUCUGCUUUAAAGCACACUUCUUAGAGACCCGCCAUAUGACAUUCUGGCUAUGUUUGGAACGCAGAACUGCAA